rnacentral:rRNA from 1 species
AUUGAACGCUGGCGGCAGGCUUAACACAUGCAAGUCGAGCGGGGAAAGGUAGCUUGCUACCUGACCUAGCGGCGGACGGGUGAGUAAUGCUUAGGAAUCUGCCUAUUAGUGGGGGACAACAUUCCGAAAGGAAUGCUAAUACCGCAUACGCCCUACGGGGGAAAGCAGGGGAUCUUCGGACCUUGCGCUAAUAGAUGAGCCUAAGUCAGAUUAGCUAGUUGGUGGGGUAAAGGCCUACCAAGGCGACGAUCUGUAGCGGGUCUGAGAGGAUGAUCCGCCACACUGGGACUGAGACACGGCCCAGAGUCCUACGGGAGGUAGCAGUGGGGAAUAUUGGACAAUGGGCGAAAGCCUGAUCCAGCCAUGCCGCGUGUGUGAAGAAGGCCUUUUGGUUGUAAAGCACUUUAAGCGAGGAGGAGGCUACUUGGAUUAAUACUCUAGGAUAGUGGACGUUACUCGCAGAAUAAGCACCGGCUAACUCUGUGCCAGCCGCCGCGGUAAUAC